rnacentral:rRNA from 1 species
UACGUAGGGUGCGAGCGUUAAUCGGAAUUACUGGGCGUAAAGUGUGCGCAGGCGACCGAGCAAGUCGAGUGUGAAAUCCCCGGGCUUAACCUGGGAACUGCAUCCGAUACUGGAUGGCUUGAAUCCGGGAGAGGGAUGCAGAAUUCCAGGUGUAGCGGUGAAAUGCUUAGAUAUGAUAUAGAACACCGAUUGCGAAGGCAGCUUACCAAGCCGUUACUGACACUGAUGCACGAAAGCGUGGGGAUCAAACAGG